GGGAUUUUAGACUAAAUUUUAAGUCGAGAGCCUUCAAAGCUUUAGAUGGGCAUAGUUUAGGUGAGUUGCUCAAAUCCUG
rnacentral:tRNA from 1 species